rnacentral:lncRNA from 1 species
AGAGACAAUAUGACCAUCGAGACAGGGCAGAGACAAUAUGACCAUCAGAACAUAUGACCAGUCAGAGACAAUAGGACCAGUCAGAGACAAUAUGACCAGUCAGAGACAUUGACCAGCAGAGACAAUAUGACCAGUCAUAGACAGGGGCAGAGACAAUAUGACCAGUCAGAGACAAUAUGACCAGUCAGAGACAGGGCAGAGACAAUAUGACCAGUCAGAGACAAUAUGACCAGUCAGAGACAAUAUGACCAGGCAGAGACAAUAUGACCAGCAGGACAUGACCAGGCAGAGACAAUAUGAACCAGUCAGAGAUAAUAGACCAGUCAGAGAUAAUAGACCAGUCAGAGAUAAUGACGUCAUAAUUGACCAGUCAGAGACAAUAUGACCACGUCAGAGACAAUAUGACCAGUCAGAACAAUUGACCAGUCAGAGACAAAUGACUCGACCAAUAUGACCGUCAGAGACAGGGCAGAGACAAUAUGACCAGUCAGAGACAGGGCAGAGACAAUAUGACCAGUCAGAAGACAGGGCAGAGACAAUAUGACCAGUCAGAGACAGGCAGAGACAAUAUGACCAGUCACAGAGACAAUAGGACCAGUCAGAGACAGGGCAGAAACAAUAUGACCAGUCAGAGACGGGCAGAGAGACAAUAUGACCAGUCGAGACAAGAUGACCAGUCAGAGACAGGGCAGAGACAAUAUGACCAGUCAGAGACAAUAUUACCAGUCAGAGACGGGCAGAGAAAUAUGACAGUCAGGACAGGGCAAGACAAUUGACCAGUCAGAGACAAUAUGACCAGUCAGAGACGGGCAGAGACAAUAUGACCAGUCAGAGACAAUAUGACCAGUCAGGACAGGCAGAGACAAUAUGACAGGUCAAGACAAUAUGACAGUC